UACGAAGGUGGCAAGCGUUGUUCGGAUUCACUGGGCGUACAGGGUGUGUAGGCGGUUUGGUAAGCCUUCUGUUAAAGCUUCGGGCCCAACCCGGAAAGCGCAGAGGGUACUGCCAGGCUAGAGGGCGGGAGAGGAGCGCGGAAUUCCCGGUGUAGCGGUGAAAUGCGUAGAGAUCGGGAGGAAGGCCGGUGGCGAAGGCGGCGCUCUGGACACAUAUUGACGCUGAGGUGCGAAAGCGUGGGGAGCAAACAGG
rnacentral:rRNA from 1 species